rnacentral:rRNA from 1 species
UACAGAGGGUGCGAACGUUGCUCGGAAUUACUGGGCGUAAAGCGCGUGUAGGCGGAUGGGUAAGUCAGAUGUGAAAUCCCCGAGCUCAACUCGGGAACUGCAUUUGAAACUGCUCGUCUAGAGUACCGGAGAGGGUGGCGGAAUUCCUGGUGUAGAGGUGAAAUUCGUAGAUAUCAGGAGGAACACCGGUGGCGAAGGCGGCCACCUGGACGGUCACUGACGCUGAGACGCGAAAGCGUGGGGAGCAAACAGG